AUGAAUGGAAAAAAGAGAAAACCUUUAGCUAGAUAAGGG
rnacentral:tRNA from 1 species